rnacentral:lncRNA from 1 species
CAACACUCAGCUUCGCACAGUAUGUAUUACGUUGUUACCUUUUACAUUUUCCUAAUAAACAUGAAUUGUUGUUCUGCUACGCUGAGUUAAGGUUUUGUUUGAGAAGCUGCGUCUUCACGAGCGCUGUGAGAACAAGAAACUUCCCAAGACGAUCAACAAACAGCAGCACUCGACAUCUGAGGCUGCGCUGCUGCAGCUCCAGGAUCUGCACCCUUUACCAAAGAUCAUUCUGGAGUAUAGACAAGUUCACAAAAUCAAGUCCACAUUUGUGGACGGGAUUCUCUCCUGUAUGAUGAGCAAGAGCUAUAUUUCCUCCACGUGGCACCAGACCAGCGCUGUGACUGGGAGAAUCUCUGCUAAACACCCG